rnacentral:lncRNA from 1 species
UGUAUUUGGCCGAUCUCAGUAGGUGUUUUGCAAUGAAUGUGAAUGAGAGAUAGGUUUAUUGUUUAUGGAAAGUUGGACAAUCUUCACAGGUAAUUUAUGCCUUCAACGGUGAAGAGAGGCAGGUCAAUAUAAUCGUCUGCUUGAGUUGUGGUCGAUUCAUGUACCAACCUUGGUAGUCCACAAAAUUCUAUUGGAAAUUCACUGGAAAUUUGAUUGUCUGCCAAGCUCAAGAAUAAGAGUUUGGGGAAAAUCCCCAACAAUCUAGAAAUUGGCCCUGUAAUUCUACUACCUACCAAGCCCAAGAUCUCUACAGUCUUAAGUUUUGAUAACCAUAAAGAUAUUGACCAGUGAAAUCACAAUAAAAAAACUCAAAUAUCGAAGAUUUUGGAAACCACCGAUACCAACCAUGCCUUCAUCAGUUGGCAUUUCCUCGCCUUUGAACGAAUACAAAAAGAAUGCAUUAAUAUCUUCAUUGCCCCAGUAAUGUUGGUUAAGCCACUUAGUGAGAGAAAGGACAAAGAUUUUAAUGAAAGAAUUUGAGGUUGUAUUUGUCCCUCUAAAUUAUUUGCAGCCAAACGAAUAACUUUUAGGGACUGACAUGAAUAAAGGCUUGUUGAAAAUGUACCAGUAACGUUGUUUCGACAUAGGUCAUGUUUAUUGAGGUGACUAAGGGCUGGUUUUGUAUUGCUGUGCUUUGAAAAAAAGCUGUUGUGAGAAUAAGCGGCUGUGCUGUGAGAAUAAACGGCUGUGAAAUAAAUCAACAGAGUGUUUGGUAAACUUUUUUGUAAAAGUGCUUUUGGAAAAAAAAAACAGUCUAAUAGUGGGUCUUUUCAUUAAAGAAGCAUUGUAGCUCCGUGUGCUUUGAAAAAAAAACCAGUUUUCCAAAGCUACAAAUAGCAGCUUCAGCUUUUUCCUUUGAUUUCAGCUUAUUCUCACAGCAGCUUCCAAAAUAAGCCUUUUUUUUUUCAGUUUACCAAACACCUAAAACCCUUACAGCUUUUUUUCAUGGGUGUUUUUUUUAAGCACCUCACUCCCAAACUAGGUCUAAGUUUUGAGAAAUUGAGCAUGGAGAUAUCUCCUUCCAAGUUGUUGGCUGCCAUAUGUAUUUCUACAAGGUUUGUGCAAUUCAUCAACGACACAUGGGGGCAAAGAACCUUCAAAAUGGUUGUAAUCAAGAGCCAAGAGUUUCAAUUUGGAGAGCUUUCCAAAAUGGAGAGGGAGCACGCCACUCAACUAAUUAAAGGAGAGGUCAAGGAUUGCGAGGUUGGUGAGGUUGAAGAUUUUCUCACUUAUGGCACCGUGGAGUGAAUUGGAAGGAAAUGUAAUUUCUUCAAGUUUGGUGGCAUUGUAGAUAUCUUUCGGAAGUAACCCUGAGAGGUUAUUGUUACUAGCACGAAAAAUUUGCAUUUGUAAAUAUUCUUUACAUUUCUGCACUUUUAUCAAUGCUCUAACACUGCAUGCAUUGUAAAAAGAGUGUAUCCCACAUUGCGCACUCUUAGUUUAAUAUAUUUUGAUAUGAAAAUGGAUAGUUACAUUUAAUUAGUAAGGGGAAUAAACAUUACCCCUCACAAAACAAGAAAAACAAAAUAAGAAUAAAAUACAAGAAAUGAGGGGGGGACAUAAACCUUACCCUCCUUGCAAAAGAAAAUACAAGAAAAAAAAAAGAAGGGACAAGUAAGGGGGAUAAACAUUACCCCUCAUAAAACAAUAAAAAUAAAAUACAGGAAAUAAGGGGAGACAUAAGCCUUACCCUUCUUAUAAAAGAAAAUACAAGGAAAAAAAAAGGGACAUAGACCUAAAGCAAAUGGUAAUAUACAUAUCCUCGUAGUCUUUAGUAUGAAAAGAAAACCAAUAAAAAGCACAAUCUAGUCUCCUCUAAGCCUCCUUUUCAUCAUGUUCACACGCAUUAUAAUCAUGAAAUAGAGCCUAUCUUGUACAUUGUCAAAGAAUUUAAAAUAUGCAUAUCUCCAUGUCUUCUUAACAAUUAAAGAACCAAACACUCCCCAAAAUCCUACAAUGAAACCUAGUGCGGUAAAAAUAUGCAACCAUGGAAAAUCAUGCUCAUUGUCCACACCUUGGAUGUUCUUGCUAUCUGCAUCAAUGCCCUUAAUUGGUAGACACUCAUUUGGAAGUGGAGGGCCACACAGUUUUGAAUUCCUCUCAAACGCAGAAGCAUCGAAACUUUGGAGCUGAGUGCUUGUUGGGAUUGGUCCUUCGAGAUUAUUGUAUGAGACAUUGAAGGAUCUUAAGAAAUUAAGGCUUGCCAAUGACAACGGGAUGUUUCCAGACAAAUGAUUCAUGGAGAGGCGCAAAUUUUCUAGAUUUUUGAGGUUGGAUAUUUGUUCUAGAAUGUUGCCGAAAAAAUAGUUUCCACUAAGAUCCAAGGUUUGGACAAGGUGUAUUUGGCCGAUCUCAGUAGGUAUUCUGCAAUGAAUGUGAUUGAGAGAUAGGUCUAUUGUUCGUGGAAAGUUGGACAAUCUUCGCGGGUAAUUUUUGUCAUCAAAGUUGAAGAGAGGCAGGUCAAUAUAAUCGUCUGCUUGAGUUUUGGUCGAUUCAUGUACCAACCUUGGUAGUCCACAAAGUUCUUUUGGAAAUUCACCGGAAAUUUGAUUGUCUGACAAGUUCAAGAAUAAGAGUUUGGGCAGAGUCCCCAACGAUCUAGGAAUUGGCCCUGUAAUUCUACUACCUACCAAACCCAAGAUCUCUACAUUCUUGAGUUUUGAUAACCAUAAAGGUAUUUGACCAGUGAACUCACAAUAAGAAAAACUCAAAUAUCGAAGAUUUUGGAAACCUCCGAAACCAACCAUGCCUUCAUCAAAUGGCAUUUCCUCGCCUUCGAACGAAUACAAAAAGAUGAGAGUUUGAAGGCUUUUGCAAUGCAUUAAUAUUUUCAUUGCCCCAGUAAUGUUGGUUAAGCCACUUAGUGAGAGAAAGGACAAAGAUUUUAAUGAAAGAAUUUCAGGUUGUAUUUGUCCCUCUAAAUUAUUGUCAGCCAAACGAAUAGCUCUUAGGGACUGGUAUGAAUAAAGGCUUGUUGGAAAUGUACCAGUAAAGUUGUUUCUACGUAGGUCAAGUUUAUUGACGUGACUAAGUUUCGAGAAAUUGAGCUUGGAGAUAUCUCCUUCCAAGUUGUUGGCUCCCAUAUCCAUUUCUACAAGGUUCGUGCAAUUCAUCAACGAUGGGGGCAAAGAACCUUCAAAAUGGUUGUAAUCAAGAGCCAAGAGUUUCAAAUUGGAGAGCUUUCCAAAUUGGAGAGGGAGUACGCCACUUAACUGAUUAAAGGAGAGGUCAAGGAUUGCGAGGUUGGUGAGGUUGAAAAUUUUCUCACCUAUGGCUCCAUGGAGUGAAUUGGAAGGGAAUGCAAUUUCUUCAAGUUUGGUGGCAUUGUAGAUAUCUUUCGGAAGUAACCCUGAGAGAUUAUUGUUACUAGCACGAAAAAUUUGUAGUUUUGAACACUCUCCGAGUCCAGGAGAAAUGUUGCCACUAAAUUCAUUGUGGGAAAAAUCCAACAGCCUAAUCAAGGGAGAAGAAUGAAGGCAUAUAGAGGAUGGGAUCAAACCUGAGAAGGCAUUGUUGGUGAUGUUGAAACUAGUUAAAUUCCAAGCUUGUUGAAAGAAUGAUGUUGGAAUUGCACCCUGGAAGCGAUUGCUAGACAAAUCCAACGUCUGGAUAUUGUGGGAUGGUAGAGAAAAAGGUAGCUUUCCAGAAAGAAGAUUAAAGCUUAAAUCAAGGAUCUCAAGACGAUUCAAAGACGAGAAGAAUUCAAUUUCAAGUGAUCCGGAAAGUGAAUUGUGAGAGAGAUUCAAGUGGGUGAGGUGUGUGAGAUUUCCUAGUGACGAUGAUGAGGGGAAAAUAGCUCAUUUGAGACCUUUGGAGGAUAAGAGCAAAUGGGUGACCAAACCAUCCUGAUUACAAGUGAUGCCCUCCCAACUACAACAGUUAACUGAAGUCCAUUUUAAAGGGAGAGAAGAUAGGGUGGAGGUGAAGGACACAAGAGAGGCGCGCUCCGUUUGGUUGCAUGCAUGAACAUUUGUAGAGAUGAUGUGUGAGAAUAAGAGGAUAAGAAGAAAGCCAUGAGCCAUUGGGUUAGAAAGUAAGCUGGUCUAGCAUAUAGAUAUGUUUCUUUACAUUCGGAAUUCUCAAAGGUAUAUAUAGAGCAACUAAUUGCA